rnacentral:lncRNA from 1 species
AUGUAUGCACGCAAGCACGGGACAUGCGCACAACGCGUACAUCCCUUCCGCGCACAUAAUGCGGGGUCAGGACCUACGCGCGUGUCACUUCACACACAGACUAGCGCCGCAUACUGUGCACACAUCGUCCCCGCAGUAGGCAUGCGCAGAUAGGCCUGCAUGUGCGGCACCUAGUGCACCUAGGCUUAGCGCCUAGUACGCCUAGGCCUGGCGCACGCGGUAGCAAGCCUGUGCGUCUGCAGGCUAGCCUGCAAUGUGUGCGAUAACAGGCCUGUGUGUCUGCUUGCUAGCCUGUAGUGCACCGGUUGACGCGUCGCUGUCAUCAAUGGAGGAAAUUUUUCUCUUUUUUUUUCAUGCCAAGAAUAUUUUCCUCCUCUC